AUUGAACGCUGGCGGCAUGCCUUACACAUGCAAGUCGAACGGUAACGGGCCUUCGGGUGCCGACGAGUGGCGAACGGGUGAGUAAUACAUCGGAACGUGCCCGAUCGUGGGGGAUAACGAGGCGAAAGCUUUGCUAAUACCGCAUACGAUCUACGGAUGAAAGCAGGGGACCGCAAGGCCUUGCGCGGACGGAGCGGCCGAUGGCAGAUUAGGUAGUUGGUGGGAUAAAAGCUUACCAAGCCGUCGAUCUGUAGCUGGGCUGAGAGGAUGAGCAGCCACACUGGGACUGAGACACGGCCCAGACUCCUACGGGAGGAAGCAGUGGGGAAUUUUGGACAAUGGGCGCAAGCCUGAUCCAGCCAUGCCGCGUGCAGGAUGAAGGCCUUCGGGUUGUAAACUGCUUUUGUACGGAACGAAAAGCCUUCUUUUAAUACAGGAGGGUCAUGACGGUACCGUAAGAAUAAGCACCGGCUAACUACGUG
rnacentral:rRNA from 1 species